rnacentral:lncRNA from 1 species
CAUAUUCCCUAUGCGUUAACACAUGAACUCUUUAUAAGAAUUCAGAGAUUCUCAUCAAGGCCGAGCCAUACUAAACAAUUAGAUGAAUUUCCUUUGUGUCUUUCCAACUUCAUUAUAAGCACUCCUCUUCUACCACAUGAAUUUCCCUUUUCUCCUUCCAAUCGGGUGUCAAAAGGCAAAGUGAGGCAUAUUAAAAAUUGAAAAGUUUAUUGGAGCAAAAUUCAAUUAGAAUUGGGCAGCCUCCAAUGUAACAGAGAAAAAGAAGUUCUGAGGAGCUGGGGGAAAAAAAAAAAAAAAAGACUUUUGUAGGAGGCAGAGGAGAGAGCAGAAACAAGGAAGUUAUUCCAGGCAAAAAAAAAAAAAAAACAAAAAACAAAAAACAGUUGAUUAUUGCAAGAUUACUUUCCGUGAGGGGAGAGCAGGGGUCUAUCCGGCGGAUUAUUUAACUAGUGCUGGUCAGGAGAUUCCUGACUGGUUUAAGAUUCCACUUCUGGGAGAACAAACCUAUAAUUAAGUCUUUAUUUGGUGACGUGAAGCUUAGCAUAAGUGACUCUGUUUGGGGCCUGUUGCCUUGUUGUUUAACGCAGGUUAGCCCUUAGGAGGGACCCUUGUAUAGGUUUUUUCCUCACUCGCAUGCUCCAGGGCAUAUGUGAUGCACGCUAUCUCUUGGUUACACUGCACUUCUCUUUGCAGACUCCACCCAGGAAUGAAGAAAUUUUUUCAGGCGACAGGCUAACAGUUGCCACCCUUCCAAAAAAAAAUUUCUAUUUUAGUAGGAGUGUUUUACCAUCAUUCCAAGGCCCACCACUCAUACGCUUUGGGACUCUACCACAGGGAGACUUCAGGCUGGAAGUUGGACUUGUCUGGGACGUGUUUUCUCCCCCCUUUUUUGUGUGUGGGGGGCACAUUUACAACACUGAAGGAUGACGUGGGAGGACCAGGAUCGAGGCUUUAAAAUGAAUAAAUCUCCAUUCUACAGAAGGAUUUAAAGAAGUCUACAUAAAUACCAGUGAUACAAAAGGAUGAUAUUAAUGGCCAAAGGACUCUGAUUGAAGGAAAAAUGUGAUUAAGAUUUUUAAAAGCCUAUGAGAAAGGUUAGCAUGCAAAAAUGCACAGUUAAUGUUCCUAUCCAGUUAAGAAUACUGGUCAUGAACUUGGCUCAAAUCUCCUGAUAGCUAAAACAAAAUGAUGGCAUUAUUUAUGUGAAAGUAUUGUUAAUGAAUUAUUAAAUAUUCAAAUAAGGAUGCCAGAAAUCUCUCUCUCUCUCUCUCUUAUCGAAAUCCUGUGGACAGACUUCUUCUCAUAUACUCCUAUAGUAAUUGUGCUAUUUUUAUAUUCAUUUGUUUAUUAAUAUUACAUUCCAUAUUAUAAUUAAUACAUGCCAAAUGAACCAUUCAUCUGUUAUCACCCUCUACAGGCUUAAUUUGUCAAUUUUAAAAUUUAUUACUCAAGUUUUAAGACAUUGUAAGAUAAGCAACAUGAAGUACAUAUCUAAUAAAAGACUCUAUUGAUAAAAAUUACA